rnacentral:rRNA from 1 species
CAGUAGCCACGGUAAUGCGGAGGGAGCUAGCGUUGUUCGGAAUCACUGGGCGUAAAGCGCACGUAGGCGGCUAUUCAAGUCAGGGGUGAAAGCCCGGGGCUCAACCCCGGAACUGCCUUUGAAACUAGAUAGCUUGAAUCUUGGAGAGGCGAGUGGAAUUCCGAGUGUAGAGGUGAAAUUCGUAGAUAUUCGGAAGAACACCAGUGGCGAAGGCGACUCGCUGGACAAGUAUUGACGCUGAGGUGCGAAAGCGUGGGGAGCAAACAGGAUUAGAUACCCCAGUAGUCCCUGUCUCUUAUAA